rnacentral:rRNA from 1 species
GAUGAACGCUGGCGGCGUGCCUAAUACAUGCAAGUCGAGCGAACGGACGAGAAGCUUGCUUCUCUGAUGUUAGCGGCGGACGGGUGAGUAACACGUGGAUAACCUACCUAUAAGACUGGGAUAACUUCGGGAAACCGGAGCUAAUACCGGAUAAUAUUUUGAACCGCAUUGCUCAAAAGUGAAAGACGGUCUUGCUUUCACUUAUAGAUGGAUCCGCGCUGCAUUAGCUAGUUGGUAAGGUAACGGCUUACCAAGGCAACGACGCAUAGCCGACCUGAGAGGGUGAUCGGCCACACUGGAACUGAGACACGGUCCAGACUCCUACGGGAGGCAGCAGUAGGGAAUCUUCCGCAAUGGGCGAAAGCCUGACGGAGCAACGCCGCGUGAGUGAUGAAGGUCUUCGGAUCGCAAAACUCUGUUAUUAGGGAAGAACAUAUGUGUAAGUAACUGUGCACAUCUUGACGGUACCUAAUCAGAAAGCCACGGCUAACUACGUG